UGCAGUCGAGCGGACUUGAUGGAGUGCUUGCACUCCUGAUGGUUAGCGGCGGACGGGUGAGUAACACGUAGGCAACCUGCCCUCAAGACUGGGAUAACUACCGGAAACGGUAGCUAAUACCGGAUAAUUUAUUUCACAGCAUUGUGGAAUAAUGAAAGACGGAGCAAUCUGUCACUUGGGGAUGGGCCUGCGGCGCAUUAGCUAGUUGGUGGGGUAAUGGCUCACCAAGGCGACGAUGCGUAGCCGACCUGAGAGGGUGAACGGCCACACUGGGACUGAGACACGGCCCAGACUCCUACGGGAGGCAGCAGUAGGGAAUCUUCCGCAAUGGGCGAAAGCCUGACGGAGCAACGCCGCGUGAGUGAUGAAGGUUUUCGGAUCGUAAAGCUCUGUUGCCAAGGAAGAACGUCUUCUAGAGUAACUGCUAGGAGAGUGACGGUACUUGAGAAGAAAGCCCCGGCUAACUACGUGCCAGCAGCCGCGGUAAUACGUAGGGGGCAAGCGUUGUCCGGAAUUAUUGGGCGUAAAGCGCGCGCAGGCGGUUCUUUAAGUCUGGUGUUUAAACCCGAGGCUCAACUUCGGGUCGCACUGGAAACUGGGGAACUUGAGUGCAGAAGAGGAGAGUGGAAUUCCACGUGUAGCGGUAAAAUGCGUAGAUAUGUGGAGGAACACCAGUGGCGAAGGCGACUCUCUGGGCKGUAMCURASGCUGAGGCGCGAAAGCGUGGGGAGC
rnacentral:rRNA from 1 species